rnacentral:lncRNA from 1 species
CACGUGUGACAAUGAAGUUUCAUGGGGACGCAGCCCACUGGGUCACGUGACGUGUGUGCUGCUCUCACACUAACACACGGACAGGAUGACCUGACGGCAUGAAAAUGAUGACAACUAGCCCUUCACAGGAACCGUCUGCCGACCAGGACCACGUAGACAAGCGCUGCCCGGGUGAGGCUGUGCUUCCUGGGGACCCCGGGGACCAUGGAGCACGCUUGUGACCCCACAUCUAUUCACACCCAGGGGUAGGAGCACCAGCACACGCCCAGCGGGAACACUCAGGACCACAGAACGCGGCCUGUGUCCCCAGAGACCAGAGGGGGUCCCCAGGUGCACGGGGGGCACAGAGCGGGCCCCCCAGGAGGAUGGUUUGCCAAACCUCCAUGCAACAGAAACGAUGGAGCCCAGACGCACUCAGUCAGCAUGUGACGUCCUCGCUGUCUCGGGCACGUCCGUGUCAGCAUCCCGCUCGGCCGGGCCUUUCCUGUGGUCCAGGCCUGUCUCCUGCAGGGACGCACGAGCAGUGGGGUGACUCCCCUCAUCCCUGCACCCCAGGCGCAUCCUGGGCUCCUGGAGGAGGCGGCCAAGGUGGGAGUGGGCAGGGGAGCCGCACGGCCUGGGGCUUUGGGUGCCGCCCACACCCCACCCCCACGUCAGUCUCCCCACAACCACAGGCCUGGGGUCUCCAAACGGCCAAGCCUGCAGCCUGAAGGGACCCGGGACAGGACGGCUAAACGUCACGGGGUCCUCGGCUGACGCUGAGUGGGGCUCAGAGAAGCUGUGAUGGAGCCGUGAGCACAGGCCCCGUGAGGACGUCCAUGCCAUCCAGCCCAGUGCCCGCGAUCGACGGCUGUGACGUGGCUGCUAAGGGUCACCUGUGGACCACGCACGCACGCACGCAUUUCUAGAGCCGGAUUCAGUCUGCAGCCCACUCGCAAGUGCGCCUGCAACCACACAG